UUUUAGCUCAGAAAAGUUUGUUAUUACCUACCUUCUGAAGCCUAUUUCUGUCAAUUCAUCAGACUCAUUCUCCAUCCAGCUUUGUUCCCUUGCUGGUGAGGAGUUGUGAUCCCUUGGAGGAGGAGAGGCAUUCUGGUUUUGGGUGAUUUCAUCUUUUUAUGUUCAUUUCUUCCCAUCUUUGUGGAUUUAUCUACCUGUGGUCUUUGAAGUUGGUGACUUUUGGAUGGGGUCUCUGAGUGGAGAUUCUUUUUGUUGGUGUUAAAGCUAUUUCUUUCUGUUUUUUUUUAGUGUUCCUUCUAACAGUAAGGCCCCUCUGCUGCAGGACUGCUGGAUGUCCACUUCAGACACUGCUUUCCUGGGAAUCACCUGUGGGGCUACAGAACAGCUGAACCUGGAGCAGAAUAGGCCAAACCAAGAUUGAAAGGAAGAUGGGAAGGAACAGACACAGUAAGUGUAUGUGUGUAUGUGC
rnacentral:lncRNA from 13 species